rnacentral:rRNA from 1 species
GACGAACCGAGCGAACGUUAUUCGGAAUCACUGGGCUUAAAGGGCGCGUAGGCGGGCGAUCAAGUCAGGGGUGAAAGCCCCCAGCUCAACUGGGGAAGUGCCUCUGAUACUGGUCGCCUCGAGGGAGGUAGGGGCGUGCGGAACUUCCGGUGGAGCGGUGGAAUGCGUAGAUAUCGGAAGGAACAUCGGUGGCGAAAGCGGCGCGCUGGACCUCUUCUGACGCUGAGGCGCGAAAGCCAGGGGAGCGAACGGG